AAGGCCCCACCCCACGCCUGCAAGCCAGAAUCGCGAGUGUUUCCGCCCAUUUUGGAAAUAAUUUCGCUGGAAAACACACACGGAGCAAUAAAUGAGCAGGCAGAGACGAGGGAUUUCAAGGACGCGUGGACUUCAAUUUAAUCGGAGAGGCUGCGAGUGGAGUGGAAGAGUGACACACAGAGGAGAGAAGUUCAUUAUUCUGCUGAAAAGGAAACCAAUGGCUUUCAUGGUCGCCAUGGUAACCGGCCUUUCUUUUGCCGCCAGACCUACGAUAAGAGGGCUGCCUUGCUGGAGGUACUCCUGUUUAAAUGGCUGUUGAUGGAGUCUGGGCUGAGGCUGUAGGCUGCUGAUGUCCCUGCCAUCUUAGAGUCCAUGGUCCUGCUCCCGGGCCUGCUGGCAGUCAGCUGUUGAAGGUGUGUCUAACAGAGGGAUCGGGAAGCAGCAGCAGCCUUGGAAGCAGUGAGAGGUUGACAAAAGGCUGGCUGGGUCCUUGCCAUCAGACCUUCAUCCAUCUACAGUCUACAGGUUUGGGCCUGAAAGACGUGCCAGACCUGCUGCCAAAGCAUCAGCCUCCACCUAACCCUGCAGACAUGGCUAAGCACACACGCAUACACACAUACACACACACACACACGCAAACAUGUAAAAGCGCACCUUAAAAAUAAUUCGUAUAUCUUAAUUACAUUUUCAAGCAUGUAAGUAUCUUUCACUUCCUCAUAUUUCCUUGCAACGCCAUCCUUAUGUGCCUAUGUCCUUGUUUGUGUCUGUAUGCAGAUACACACAGAUUCUCACCCUGUCUGACUUUGAUGAUGAAGUCUUCACAUCACGUGUCAGACCAAGACAAGAUCAAGCUCCAUUCACACGAAGACCCUUGGUGUGUGCUCUCAAGAGUUAACAUAGCUGUCAUCAGCAGAGGAGGUGUGAGUGGUGUGUGAGAAAGCCUCAUUAGUACCAAGGAGCUGCUGAGGUAGCACACGGCUGCCAUUGUGGCCAAUCCAAACAUCAGGUCCUCUCCAUCCGAGCCCCCCACUUCAGAACCCCCAACCAAAUCCCAUUUUCAGGCUCUGCAGCUGCCCUGCUCUGCCAGAGCACUUAGCCAUGUCAUUCUAUCCGGCUCUCCAGGCCUCUGAGGAAACAGGCCUGUUUUGUGCUUGGCCGUCUCUGAUAUGACUCCAGAAAUGGAAAUGAAGCCAUGGAUCUUCAUUAGGAGAGGCAGGUGUCCAGAGAGAUUCAGCCCAGGUGAAGAAUCCGGGAGGGGGGCGCCUAGUGAGGGUGAAGAUGGGUGAGGGGGAAUUGGAUUGGUAGGGGUUUCGAUCCUUAAAACCCAGUGAUGGGCCUGUUACCCUCCAUACGCUCUCUCUCUCACACACGCACACACACCGAGGCGCAUACACACUUCUUUGCCAUCACCCCCUUACCCCAUCCCACUCCUCUACCCCAGCACUUAAUUGCCCAUGUAAUGAGCUGCAGUGAAUGGGAUUACUUGUGUGGAGGUACUUGAGGACCCUGUGCAUCGGGGGCACCUCCUGCAGGCCCUCAUCUCCAGGGAAUACAUUUAGGAUGAUGUUUUCUAUGAAGCACAGGGGCAAAAACCUCAGCUCUCCUCUCUGCAUCUGGUCUAGUUACAUUAAACCCUCCACAGCUUGCCCCUCCUUUCCUACUCUCUCACCCCCUCUGGGCCUUUUGUUUCCCUAAUUAUUCAUUACAGAGAGGUGGCCUUCCCUUUGAAACCUGUGGAGGUGGAUGAGGCUUGGAGCAGACCACGAAGCAUCGGAGCAUCCCGAAGCCCGAGAUGUCUUUGUGACAGGACACCUGUUAUUUCCAUCCAUCCUCUUUCAACUUUGCCCCCUCUCCUCUUACCGCACAUUAACAAAUCAGAGAGGAAAAUAAUCCUGGCAUAUCUAUAUUAAUGUAUACCAACAGUUCAUUGUAUUUGAUGUAUAGUAUGAUGCUUUGUUUUCAUUUAAGCGAAGGAACAGUGACAUGAAUUUUAAUGUUAACUUUUUAAUGCAGUCUAAACUAGUAGAGACAAGCAGAGCUGUUUGAUCAAUAUCAUGUAAAUCAGUGACAUGCUCAGAAAGCCUCUACUUUGGAGGUUAUGCAAAUGUUAUUUUGUUAGUUCCAUUAAGCAAAACAGACUGUACAUUCCUCUUAAUCUGUGUGUAAAGUGUGAAGGAGCACUCCCCAUGGUGCCCUGAGCUGCUUCUCUUCUCACGCUGUUUUUAGUAAAAUAUUAGCCCCCUCAGCCCUGUGCUGGGCGGCUGACAAAUAGAGGGCUGUCUUCCCCCUUCUCUCACAGGGCUGAGGGUUAAUGAUCCCAGUUUCAGGGGUUAAAGCUUGCCAGUAGGCCUUUCUCCUGCACCCCAACAGAUGUUGCUAGGACUUUAAUGUGGUUAUCAAAUCAGAGUGCCCUCUAAGCCCCAGGAGCUCAUUGUGUGUCGGUGCAUUCCAGGCCCUCGCCGUGGUGACAAGGCAUCCUGGGGGCCAAGCUGGGCUCCCGCUGAGCCUUCCAGCAGCUCCUCAGAGCUGACAGCUUGGGCAGCCCCUCUCCCCAUACCACCUCCGCCUCCACUAGCUUCUCUCUGUUUCUGUCUCCGAUCCUAUGCCCUCUGUGUCAUAAAGUCAUCCUCCGUUUCCCCCUCUGUCCCACAGUGGCCCUUGCUGGUGUGCUCCUCACACAAAUAGGCCCACUCACCCACUUUCACUACCCCACUCACAUUCUUGGUCGCACACAUCUAUCCAGCUUAGACACGCACAUGCCCACCAUGGUGGCAUUUAUUUAAAUAUGUGUACAAAACUGGAAACUAAAAAGUGUACUAAGGUGCUUUAUAAGUCAGUUUGGGCAAACUCAGUCUGUGCAUCUAAACACUGAACUGAAAGAAUUCUGAUUGGUGUGUAAACAUAUUAUAACUUUAAAGAGCUCAUUUAGAAAAUCCCUUAUGCAAGUGUUAAAUGGGAAAAGUUUGUGGCCGUCCUUAAAGAUACCUAAAAAUGAAAGUGAAAAGUGACUUUUUAUUAGAGGGUUUAACGAAGAAGCAGAUUCUAGAAGUUACAUGAUCAUUUGUGUUCAUAUAUUUCUUAAAGAAGUACCGAAUAACACCCAUAUCAUCAAAAAAAAAAAAUUGGAACAUUAAUUUAAAGGAACUUAAAAAAGUUAAAAAUUCCCAAUCCUGAAAACUUGCCGGCUUGUAGAUGACAUGAAAAUAUCCCUGUAGUGAGGUGUGGUUCUGUCUAGAACAGGAAAUUCAGGAUGGACUGAAAAGAGGUGAUGAUUUGUUAGUCUAAUCACUUCUGUGUUCUAUAAAGCGUGUCUAUGUUUUAUAUAUAAAAAUGCAAGUUUAAAAAAAUCAAAUGAUCUUCCGGUAAUCGCCUAACAGUUUUUAUUGCUAGCAUUUUUCACGAUGAUGCAACAUUUAAACGAUGCUGUAUAUGUCCACAAAUACAAGGCGCUAUGAUAAACAGCGCAUGUAAACUCAUUAGAAACUGUAAACAGGUUGAGUUUUCAUAGGUGUCACAAAAGCCUCCUGAAUGAAUGGGUCAUGGUCUGGAGGCGAUACUAGAGACUGGGGUCAAUCUGCGCCUUUCUGCAUGUACAGUAUCAAUGGCAGCAGCUGCGAGAUUGUUUGUACACAGAUGCAGGGGUGCUUGAUUAUAAUUGCCUUGCAGCUGCGCUCCGGGCAUUGAAUUAGGUGCAGUUUUUUUUCUUUUUCCCCUUGGUGGCUCAUAUUGUGCGCAAGCCAUUAAGAGCAGGAAUGUGGGAAACAGUUGUAAUUAAAGUAUUCUGUAACUCAAUUAAGGACUCUUCCCCUACAGUUUCCCCCUGAGCCCUAACUGCUAUCCUACACCUAUUCCCUUCUGCAGGGGAUCAAAGGGUGUUUAUAGGCUGUGGCCUCUUUAUCGUCACUCGCCUGGCCCAGAGUUUCACUCGUUUAACUAAUCUCUGCGCUGGUUGCAAUAAGAAAGAGGAAUUUGUUAUGUGAAAAAUUGAAGGCAAGAUGGUAUAUGAGGUGGAGUUAAAACAGUGAAGUGGAAUAAAUGGAGAAUUGGUGUUUCAUGGAGUGCUGUGAACCUGCUUACCAUGAAGAGGUGAGGCACUCAUUAAAGCCAUGAGUCAUUUUUCAUAAGCUGUUAUCAAUUCACUGUGCACAGAAGAUGGAUUGAUGACAAUUAUACUGAUGAAAACCUCACAUACACUUUUUUGGCAGGAAUAGAGCAAUUAAGAGAUUCAUGCCAUCAUUAUUUUGAAGUUAAUUUCUUAAAAUAAAACAAUUUGCGAGACAGAUAACCGUCUUUUUAAAAUUUAAAAUACAUUCUUUAAUAUGCACAUUUGGCAUUACUUUUAUAUAAACCAAAUAGUUUUUAUUGCAAUAAAAUUAAAUCCCUUUGUUCUAAUUCCCCCAAACUGAUGCAGGCUGGCUGCUGGGUAAUGUAUCCAAAUACUCUGAACAAUGACAGGCAACAAUCAAGGUGCUCAAUUAACUGUAUAACGAUUAAGACAUCAAUUACCAAUUUGAUUGAUGAGACCAAAUGAUCCGAUUCAUUUUCUUCAUCCAGCGUAAAAACUGGAAGCAGCAGUAUGAGAAAAUUUGUUGAUUAAUGGUGUGCAUGUAGAGAAACCCCUUCUCUGUGAUAAUAUGUGCAAUUUAAUAUGCAAACUCACAGUAAACAUUAAAAAUAGCGUUUGCUAAAUAGGUUUAAAAUCCAUAAUAAAAAUUACACAAUAAAGAGGGAACAAACAGACUUACAUUAUAAGAAAAAAGCCAAAUGCAUUUAAAGAGCAGGCAUAAAUAUAUAUAUUUUUUAACUUAGUUAAUUCUUUAUAAUACAUGUAAGUGUUUAAUGUAUCAGAUGAAUGAAUUUCUUUUCUCUGUUGGUAUUGAUGUCGAUGAUGUUCCUCUGCCCCUCUUACAAAGGCCAAAACAAUGUUUGAAGAGCGCCUUGAGACCAGCUUGGACUAAGGCUUUAGUUUUUAUUCUGUUCAUGUUGUCAAUGUGUAGAGGGAUAAUUGAGGCGAUCUUUGACUAUGGGAUCUAUUUAUACAGGGCAUAAUUCCCUCCGUAUUCAGGCAUUAUCAUGGUGUCAGAACAAGCACAAUGGCACAAUAAGGUCAAUAUAAUGAAACUCCAAAACAAUAUGGUGUCAUUCGUAUAAUAAAAUGUGAGCCACUCUCGGUUUGUUUAGUCCCGCAACAGUUGUGAUCUUGUACUGAACUCUUUGUAAAAUUAUUUGCAAAUAAAAAUGCAUUUUGUGGAAGCCGAUCUGACAUAUGACAAAGGGUCUUAAGUUAUUCUGUAAUAAAAUUCUUAAAAAAA